rnacentral:rRNA from 1 species
CGACUCUCGGCAACGGAUAUCUCGGCUCUCGCAUCGAUGAAGAACGUAGCGAAAUGCGAUACUUGGUGUGAAUUGCAGAAUCCCGUGAACCAUCGAGUUUUUGAACGCAAGUUGUGCCCAAAGCCAUUAGGCCAAGGGCACGUCUGCCUGGGCGUCAC